AGUAAUCGAACAUUCUAUGUGUUACAUUCUGUGGAUAGUAAAAAUUACGCGUGUGUGUAUUGCGAGUCAAAUAUAUAGUUAUGUGUAAUGUAUGGACACAGUAUAUAUUUAAUGUUGUGUAAUAUUUUUGAUGUGUGAGUUUACCUCGUCCCCUUCAAAAAACGACAGACUUUUUUGUUGGUGAAUUUGGGUGCAAAACAGGUCCAUAGUCUAAACAGUCAAAGGCCUAAUGGACUAUGAUUGCUAAUCGAUUUUAUUAAUAUAAUAUCUCGAUGUGAAUUGGACUAUUGCAUUCAGGCAGACCGCACAUCACUAACCGUGAGCUGUCAUCGGCAGCGACCGCCAUUUAUUUUUCUUUCUUUCAAAGUAGACGUCGCACGAGUGAACCAUCAUUCCGUAUCUGAAAAUAUUUAAUUAAUCACUAUAGUCUCGUUUUACUACAAAUAUUAAGCCGUAAGGCUUAAAUUCUCUAAAUAUGAGAGCAAAGUGGCGUAAGAAGCGUAUGCGAAGGCUAAAGCGUAAACGCAGGAAGAUGCGUGCGAGGUCUAAAUAAAAGGUACACGUGUGAGGAGAGAAGAUUAAUAAUAUUAUCUUUACUUUACUUGUGUAUCAAAUAAAAAAUUCAAAAAUC